rnacentral:rRNA from 1 species
AGAGUUUGAUCCUGGCUCAGGAUCAACGCUGGCGGCGUGCCUAACGCAUGUAAGUCGAACGGCCGGCCUUCGGGCCGGCAGUGGCGAACGGCUGAGGAACACGUACGCACCGACCCGCUCGUGGGGAAUACCGUAGCGAAAGCUGCGCUAAUACCGCGUACGCUCCUUCCUGUGGGGAGGAGGAAAGCUCUGUGGAGCGCGGGCGGACGGGCGUGCGGCCCAUCAGGUAGUUGGCGGGGUAAGCGCCCACCAAGCCGGUGACGGGUAGCUGGUCUGUGAGGACGAUCAGCCAGACUGGGACUGCGAGACGGCCCAGACACCUACGGGUGGCAGCAGCGAGGAAUCUUCCGCAAUGGGCGCAAGCCUUACGGAGCAACGCCGCGUGGAGGACGACGGCCUUCGGGUUGUAAACUCCUUUCGGGGGGGACGAAAUGGACGGUACCCCCACAAGCAGCCCCGGCUAACUCUGUGCCAGCAGCCGCGGUAAGACAGAGGGGGCAAGCGUUGUCCGGAUUUACUGGGCGUACAGCGCGCGCAGGCGGCUUAGUACGUGCCCUGUGACAGGCGGAAGCUCAACUUCCGACGGCCAGGGUAGACGGCCAAGCUGGAGGCAGGGAGAGGGUGGUGGAAGGCCCGGUGGAGCGGUGAAAUGCGUAGAGAUCGGGCGGAACACCCGGGGCGAAGGCGGCCACCUGGCCCUGGCCUGACGCUGAGGCGCGAGAGCGUGGGGAGCGAACCGGGAUUAGAUACCCGGGUAGUCCACGCCGUAAACGAUGUGGACCCGGUGCCGGGGGGUGAUUGCGCCCCGCGGUGCCUGAGCUUACGCGAUGAGUCCACCGCCUGGGGACUACGGCCGCAAGGCUAAAACUCAAAGGAAUUGACGGGGGCCCGCACAAGCAGCGGAGCGUGUGGUUUAAUUCGAUGCGACACGCAGAACCUUACCCAGGCUGGACAUGCACGUGCAGGCGGGCGAAAGCUCGCCGCCUUCGAGGGUCGUGCACCGGUGCUGCAUGGCUGUCGUCAGCUCGUGUCGUGAGAUGUUGGGUUAAGUCCCGCAACGAGCGCAACCCCUGCCCGCUGUUACCAGUGUCAGCGGGGACUGCCGUGGUGUGACCACGGAGGAAGGCGGGGAUGACGUCAAGUCCGCAUGGCCCCGACGCCUGGGGCGACACACACGCUACAAUGGGCGCAGCAGCGCGUUGCGACGGCGUAAGCCGGAGCCAAUCGCCAAGGGCGCCCGUAGUGCAGAUUGGGGGCUGCAACUCGCCCCCAUGAAGGCGGAGUUGCUAGUAACCGCGUGACAGCAGAGCGCGGUGAAUACGUACCCGGGCCUUGUACACACCGCCCGUCACGUCAUGGGAGUCGGGAAGACCUGAAGUCCGUGGGCCGACCCUUCGCUGGAAGGCGGUGGGAGGCAGCGGCCGAGGGUGGGCCUGGCGACUGGGACGAAGUCGUAACAAGGUAGCCGU